rnacentral:tRNA from 1 species
GCGGGAAUGGCGGAAUUGGCAGACGCGCACGGUUCAGGUCCGUGUGCUGGCAACGGCAUGCAGGUUCAAGUCCUGUUUCCCGCACCA